rnacentral:rRNA from 1 species
UACGAAGGGGGCGAGCGUUGUUCAGAUUUAUUGGGCGUAAAGCGCGUGUAGGCGGCGUGACAAGUCGGGUGUGAAAGCCCUCAGCUCAACUGAGGAAGUGCGCCCGAAACUGUCGUGCUUGAGUGUCGGAGAGGGUAGCGGAAUUCCCCAAGUAGAGGUGAAAUUCGUAGAUAUGGGGAGGAACACCGGUGGCGAAGGCGGCUACCUGGACGACUACUGACGCUGAGACGCGAAAGCGUGGGGAGCAAACAGG